rnacentral:tRNA from 1 species
AGAAAGUUAGUCUAGCUAAGACAGUUGAUUUCGACUCAACAAACCACAGCUCAACCCUGUGACUUUCUUC